AAAUUUGACAUAUUUUAGUUAUAAUAACUUUAAAACAGCUAAAUAGAGACUACAAACUACUUUUUCUAACAUCUAAAAUGGUGAUUUUUCCAAAACAUUUUUGAGACUCAAUUCUAAACAGGCUCUAAUUGUGAAAAGUAAAGUUUGAGAAUCAAAUUUAUAUUUUCGGCCUAUUUGGAUGAAUAGUUAGAGUUAACAAUAGCGUUUGGACUCCUAGUUGCUUGUUCAGAGAAUUUUGUAAAAUCAACACUAGAAAAUCAUAAUGUUAGCAGAUCCAACCAUAACUGAAACGCUAAAGUUGG
rnacentral:misc_RNA from 1 species